CCUUUCAGUAGAAGCUGAUAAGUAUGAUUGAUGUGCUUUUCUUGUGAGAUAAAGCAAAUGAAAAGCUGAGGAUUGGGAAGGGUGGGAUGUUAAAAUGGUCAGAUAGCCACUUAUUUUUGGGUGAUUAAUUUUUUUUUCUCUUCUCAUGCUAUUUCAUGUUGAAACAGGUUGAGGAGUUGUAUUCUUUGGAUCUUGAUGAGCUCAACAGUCUUAGGCCCGUGUAUGGCUUGGUAUUCCUUUUCAAAUGGCGUCCGGGUGAAAAAGAUGAUCGCCUUGUGAUCAAGGAUCCAAACCCAAACUUAUUCUUUGCUAGUCAGGUGAUAAACAAUGCCUGUGCUACCCAAGCAAUCCUGUCAAUUCUCCUGAACAGUCCAGAU